GUUGGAAUAGCUUAGUUGGUUAGAGCGUGUGGCUGUUAACCACAAGGUUGGUUAGAGCGUGUGGCUGUUCAAUCCCUCCUUCUAGCA
rnacentral:tRNA from 1 species